AGUGAACGCUGGCGGUAGGCCUAACACAUGCAAGUCGAACGGCAGCACAGUAAGAGCUUGCUCUUACGGGUGGCGAGUGGCGGACGGGUGAGGAAUACAUCGGAAUCUACUUUUUCGUGGGGGAUAACGUAGGGAAACUUACGCUAAUACCGCAUACGACCUACGGGUGAAAGCAGGGGAUCUUCGGACCUUGCGCGAUUGAAUGAGCCGAUGUCGGAUUAGCUAGUUGGCGGGGUAAAGGCCCACCAAGGCGACGAUCCGUAGCUGGUCUGAGAGGAUGAGCAGCCCCGAGGGAAAGAAAAACGGCUCGGGGCCCCAGAGGGGGGCAGGAGGGGGAAAUUUGGGAGAAGGGGGGAAACCUGAACCAAGCCAUGCCGCGGGGGGAAAAAAGGCCUCGGGGUUGAAAACCCCUUUUGUGGGGAAAAAAACCCAGCCGGGUAAUCCCGGGUGGGGAUGGGGGAACCAAAAAAAAAAGCCCGGGCAAAAUUCG
rnacentral:rRNA from 1 species